UACGAUUUUAGACACCCCUAAAGUGGACCAUACCAUUUCUCAACCUUGGUUGAAUGUCUCACCUGCCUGCCUCGGCUCGCGACAUGCUCCCGUACGUUGUGAAUGCACCUGAAGUUCAGAUCGUCCAUGUGGGAACAAGAGGAGUCACCAUCAAAGAUGCUGAAUACCAUGUUGGAACUUGGCCUGCAGUCCGCCUUCCUUAACAUGUACUUAUGUAGCCUUGAAGACAUUUCUCACUUUGUCAGUGACAAACUGGAAAGAGGACCGCUCAUUCAUCCCACAUAACGAGAAUUAAAAAUGAACUGAGAACAAAGAUGAGUCAACAACGCUUGAACUCUUAUCAAUACUGAAGAUGGAAUCAGAACUCAUCAGAGACCUUUAAUCAUGUGGUGGAGGAGUUUUCGAGGAGAAAGGCCAUCGCAUGAGCUCUUCAUCUCUCUGGGGAGCCUAUCAGGCCAUUUCACAUCUGUUGAGUGGUGGAGGACCGUGAGGACCUGUCAGGGGCUCUCAUUCGCUGGUGUUUUAUAGGACUGAAGCCCUCUAGUGCUGCAGUACUCGAGUGAUAGGAAGAAUGGAAGAGGGAGGAAGAAGAUGGGGAGGGUGGCCACUGUGUCCCACACUGUGCUUCCAAUUCCACAGGAGUGGCAUCGUUGUUUAUUCUCCUCUGCAGAUUUAAGGUGACUGCAUGUGCCAGCUUUGGGAUAAUUUAUAGCUUGUUUACACCUUGCCCAUGUCCUAUUAGAUCUGUGAGAAAGUAUGAGCGAAUGUAUGUGACUAUCUAUCUAUCUAUCUAUCUAUCUAUCUAUCCCUCCCUGAGCCCCCUCCACACACACACACACACACAUUCACUUUCUCUCUCUCUCUCUCUCUGUCUCUCUCUCUCUUUCUCUCUCUCUCUCUCUCUCGCAUUAUGAUGAAUCUGAUUAAUGAUGAGGCUGAAACAGUGCCAGUGGGUACUCUCCUUGAUUUGACUCCCUACUCCACAGCUGAGCUCCACAUAAUGCCAGCUCUCAUCCAUCUCACCAACUCAAUAUUUGGACUCCACGUACCCACUUUUAUUCGGCUAGGUAUACUCUUUCCAUUCAUCUUGUACUUAGUUUGCUCUUUAUAAUUAAAGAGAUAAUUUAACAAGACUAAGAAUCUACAGCCACACUGUUGCUUUACAUCAGCAUGUUCUCACAAUGACAAUGAUACCUUUUUGAUUUGAAGCAGGUAAUAGUAACCACGUCGCUCCAGUCUUAGUUGAGCCUGUUUGGAUGGCAACAUAAAGCCAAGGAUUGGACAAACUGAAAUUUUGACCUGAAGAUGGCGCUAAAUAAAAAGUCAGGGAAUCAUCAAAGUGAUUGUAAUUCACCCCGAGGGGAACAUGGCUGUGUGUGCCAAAUUUUAUGUUGAUCCAUCCAACAGUUGUUGAGAGAUUUCACUCAACACAACAACUGUCAACCUCAGGGUGGCACUAGAGGAAAAGGCUGGAUAACAAAAGUCAUUGGGCUUUUGUCUGAGAGCCAUGUUUGUAGAAAAUGUCAUGGCUGUCCAUCUAGUAGUUGUAAAGAUAUUUCAGUCUGCACCAACAUUUUGGACUGACUUACAGACUGAUGUUGCCAUCUGUAGAGCCACACUGCUCGCAUGGCUAAAAACCAAAUUUAUGUUGAAUAACACACGAUGUUAUGACUCACAUUUUGAUCUCUUCUUCUGAAUCCCAAAGAGUCGAUUUUGACCAAUUACCCUGCCUAUAGUAUACAGUUAUGAUAUAUGAAAUGUGUCACUGUUGACCCAGACCAAAUGAGAAAAAAAGGCGUCAAGAUGUCAAAUGUUAACUCUCAGCCCCGAAUGUUACAUCGACAAGUACCUCAUGGCCUACACACACACACACACACACACACCCUUUGACUGACACACACACACUAAAAACCUAGCUUUGUGGAUGUGGCAAAUGAGAUACACCUGAUAGUAAUGUAAAAGACUCUAUGUCUUUUCUGGCAUUGUUUGUAUCAACUUUAUCUGCCCGUGAAUCAGACAAUAUUUAUCACACAAUGAAAAUCAUCAUUAUAGGCCAAGAGAAGUCUUUCCUAUAAGAGAACAAUGAUUUCUUACAUAGUUUUGAGUCAGAUGCUGCUGGGCCAACAUCUGUAACACACUGUAUGUAGUGAAGACAGGAGUAUGUCCUAGUAGAGAAGAGGUUGUUUUUCCACUGACAAGAAAAAAUAUUGCAGGUGCUUUGCAACAACAAUCUUGACCACCAAGGGGCAGUGUAAGCCUCUGGGGGGGGACUACUUAGAUCCAUAAGGCUAAAUUUAAUUAUUACAUUUUUGUCCUUUUCUCUCCUCCAGCUUUAUAGCUAGCUGGACUCAGUGGCAGAUCAAAUCAAACCAAUUUAAAGCACCUUUUCACAAUUUUUUGGCAUUUUUCACACUUUAUUCCAAAAUGUUUUAAAUAAUUCACAGUAAAUGCCUGGAAUGUAUAAUAACUGAGAAUCACAUGUGGAUAUGAGAGGAGAAAAGCACAGUAAUAAGAGGGAGAUAAUGAAAUAAGAACCAUGUGGGAGAAAAAAUUACAAAAGAGAGGGAGAGAGCGAGAGGGAGGGAAAAUUCAGAGGAGCUGGAUGUGUUAAUAGACAGGUCCAUAAAAUCUAAUUUGGUAGUUUGAGUGGGAGCAGAGAGCCCCCAGGUGGACAUGUAGGGAGACGUACAAAGCAGAAGGGAAGGAGUUUAUGGCUCAUUAUUGCUUACAUUUAAAGGAGUAACUGUUACUAACAUAGACUGGAAGACUUGUAAAAAUGUUGAGCUUUUUACCAACUGGGAAUUCUUCAGUUUUGAGGACAUGUCAGUAAUAUUACACAUUAGCUGGUGGUAUGGCAAGAAAACCUUAUGUAAUUAAUGAUUCUUAUUAAGGUCUCUGUGGGGAAAGUCCCCAAUCAGUCUGUCCACAUGGUGAGCCCUGUGAGGACAACUACCCAACAGCUAUUACAGGACUGAGUGUUGACGGGGCUUCAAACUUGUUCCCCCAGCUAAGAGAGACAGUCACACAUGAGGUCAUACUCUUUUUUUUCGAUGUAAUUUAGAGGUGAUGUGGUAUGGUGAGUGUUUAGAGCGGUGUCUCUGUAAAUAGAAUUAAAACUCAAGGUCCAGUAUCUCAA